AUUUGUUCAAGCCUAAACCAUAAUUAUUUUAAAGCGCUUAUUCACCCUCUCUAGGCGACAUCCACGUCCUUUCACCGGACUCCCUCAAGCGUUGGUGUGAAAAAAACUUUGUUGUAUUUUCUGUUGUAUUUUCCCAUCAUGUCUUGAUCUGAGGGUGCAUGUGAGCUUUUGGUGGGUCCUUGGUUUGUACUUUAUUAAGGAUAAUUACUGCUCCACACAUAGUUUGCUCCAAGAGAUUAGUGCCACUACUUGAUUCAACAAUAGUACUGGUCUCUGCUUGUUCUUAGUGAUUUGCACUUGCAUUAAAUCAAAAUCUAGUUUGAUAGGGUUGUGAGCACACAUCCAAUCAGCUCCCAAUAUGAUGUGAUAAUCCUGGAGCUUUAGAACUCUGAAAUCUGAAGAAAAUUCCUCUCCUUGUAUUGAGUAUGGCAUUGGAGGGUCAUAAACUCAGUCAACAAUGUGCCAUCAUUGGCCACUACCAGUGGCGAGUCUAUUGGGCAGGCUUCAACAGGCUGAAGCCUGCCCUCCACAAGCCCAAUUGUUUUUACUAGUACCAUUUUUACUCAGCCAUUUAGUCAAGCUCUUAUGUCUAAGCCCGUGUGCUCCAUAUUUCCACGGUUGUCACACACAUACAUGCAUAACCACCAACAUGAGUGAACACGGGGAUUGAACCACGAACCUCCAAUCCUAGCGAGUGGAUGUGGGGUAAGCUGCAGCCAGUGGCCAGCAAGGCAGUGUCAUGCAUCCACGUGGCCGCGCCGGGCCUGGGGCGCCCUCCCUCACGGUCGGCCUUACUCUUGCUAUUUAGCAAGACAUAUCGAAAUAAUCUACAGUGGAUACUUUUUAUAUUAUUUAGACAAAAAGAAUGAGGACAUGAUGACUCUUUUGCUAAAAAGAUUGAAAUUUUGGUUUAAAAUUUCAUUUUGUUUCUAGAAAAUCGGUAAAAAUCAAGUAGAUAUUUGUGUUCCAAGUAGUAAUUCGGGAACUUUUAAGUUUAUUUGGGCAAAACUAUUGAUAGAUAAUGCCUAGAUCCAAACUUUCGUUCAAAAAUUGAUUUUUUUUAAAACACCCAUCAAUUUAAUUAUUAAAUAUUACAUGCUUUAAGUAGCAAUUAGGGAAUAUUUAGCUUAUGGACAAAAAGAUUGAGAAAAAAUGACUAUUUAGCUAGACAAAUCCGAUUUUUUAUUCAAAAUUGAUAUAUUUUGAAAACAAUUAUAAAAGUUCUAUUAAAUAGUACUUCCUCCGAUCCAUAAUAACUGUCGCAGUUUUGAACUAACUAAUUUUAAUUUUAAUUUUAAACUAACUAGUUUUAAACUUCCUCUCAUAUGGUUUUAGUACUCCCUCCGUCCCAAAAUAACUGUUUCAACUUUGUACUAGCUCUAGUACAAAGUUGUAUUAAGCUUAAGACACUUAUUUUGGGACGGAGAGAGUAGUAAUCUGUGAAAAAUUGAGAUAAUAGUUUUGUUCUUCAAAAGGGUAUGUAGUUUUUUAUUGUAAUUUUGAGCCCACCCUUGGUUUUCUUGCUAGAUUCCCCACUGGCCACUACUACCUUUGUUUUCUUAGUGGGGGUAAGAGGGCAUUUGCACUCUGUAGAAAAGGCACGGGAGAUGAAAGUGGCAGAACUACCACUGUCAAUAAGGGCAGUAGGAGGAUACUGUCCGAGCAUUGUAAAUAUGUGCUUGGUAUGGCUUAUUCCCAAUAGUACAUGCAUAGAAAUUUGCAACUGCUGCUGAUCUCCUGGCUCAGAAGUUUCUUGUUCAGUUUCUUCUGACAAUUCAGUGAAAUAAACCAGAUCAGCAUCAUCAGGAUAUUGUUCUUGUAAGGCUUGAAUUUGUGCUUGAUUGUUCAUCUUGCACACCUUUUUAUGCCCCAGAAACCAAGGUUUUUUUUCACUUGUAGCAGACCCAUUUUAAUAUGGCUUGCUGAAUGACAGAAGGGGUGUUAUUAGGAAGUGUUUUGGGUUGUUCAGUUAAGAAUGCUUUUCUGAAAGGUACAGGAGUGAACUGACUAAAAUUCCUCUUCGGUGGCUGUGCCUGCUCCAUUCUCCUUGCUAGCCGGAUGGCUGUGUGCAAAUCAGCAGGUUCAUGACACAUAAGGGUUGUCAGGAACGUUCCCUAGCCCAUAUAUGUACUUGGGUUGGCCUAGGAUGUCAUAUGUGCUGGGCCCGGAGGUGCACCGUGAGUGCUACGAGCUACAAGUAUCUCGGGGGAGAAGCAACGUGAGAGGCAUCCAGUGAAUCACGACACGGAACAGCGGCGGCUCCUCUCUCUUUCCCCUACCUCCAGUUUCUUCCCUGUUCCUCCCCUUCCUCUCAUUCGUGUACCAAAUUCUUGUACUCCAUCCGUUUCAAAAUAUAAGACCUUUUAGAGAUUUAUACUCUAAAA